rnacentral:rRNA from 1 species
GACGAACGCUGGCGGCGUGCUUAACACAUGCAAGUCGAACGGAAAGGCCUAGCUUGCGUGGUACGCGCGAGUGGCGAACGGGUGAGUAACACGUGAGUAACCUGCCCGUGAUUGUGGUAUAACUUCGGGAAACUGGGUCUAAUACCGGAUAGGAGCUUCUGCUCCAGGGGGGUGGUUGGAAAGUUUCGGCGGUUGGGGAUGGACCCGCGGCUUAUCAGCUUGUUGGUGGGGUAGUGGCUUACCAAGGCUUUGACGGGUAGCCGGCCUGAGAGGGUGACCGGCCACAUUGGGACUGAGAUACGGCCCAGACUCCUACGGGAGGCAGCAGUGGGGAAUAUUGCACAAUGGGCGGAAGCCUGAUGCAGCGACGCCGCGUGCGGGAUGACGGCCUUCGGGUUGUAAACCGCUUUCGCCUGUGACGAAGCGUGAGUGACGGUAAUGGGUAAAGAAGCACCGGCUAACUACGUG